UACGUAGGGUGCAAGCGUUGUCCGGAAUUAUUGGGCGUAAAGAGCUCGUAGGCGGUCUGUUGCGUCGGCUGUGAAAACCCGGGGCUCAACUCCGGGCCUGCAGCCGAUACGGGCAGACUAGAGUUCGGCAGGGGAGACUGGAAUUCCUGGUGUAGCGGUGAAAUGCGCAGAUAUCAGGAGGAACACCGGUGGCGAAGGCGGGUCUCUGGGCCGAUAUUGACGCUGAGGAGCGAAAGCGUGGGGAGCAAACAGG
rnacentral:rRNA from 1 species